UUAGUUUGAUUCCGGCUCAGGACGAACGCUGGCGGCGUGCCUAAUACAUGCAAGUCGAACGAACUCUGGUAAUGAUUGGUGCUUGCAUCAUGAAUUACAUUUGAGUGAGUGGCGAACUGGUGAGUAACACGUGGGAAACCUGCCCAGAAGCGGGGGAUAACACCUGGAAACAGAUGCUAAUACCGCAUAACAACUUGGACCGCAUGGUCCGAGUUUGAAAGAUGGCUUCGGCUAUCACUUUUGGAUGGUCCCGCGGCGUAUUAGCUAGAUGGUGAGGUAACGGCUCACCAUGGC
rnacentral:rRNA from 1 species